AGCCAUGGAAAGAUUUCCUGAGAAAGUUUCUGUCGCAAUUUUUGCCACCGCUGUUAUGCCAGGCCCUGACUUCAGUUUUGCUUCAAUAGAAGAAGAGGUACUUGUUCAUCACUCUCUCUUCCCUUUUCCCACAUUGUCACACACACCUAAGAUGAAAACAAGCAGGCGUUAGAAACUAUAAAAUCCUUUGUCUCUUUCUCUUCGGCAUUUUUGGCACAAACCCAAAGAUCAACCUUUUUUUCUGAUUUCAUUUUCCCUCUUUUUUGCAUAAUUGGAUCUUUAUUGGCACAAUUAUGCAAUCAUAUAAUCAAAUACCCUACCAUUUUCAAUUACAAUCUGACACAAUUUCCUUCAUAUGUCAAUUUAUCAAAUAAUCAUCAAUGGAAUUUUCCUUCUACAUUUUUCUUUGCUUGUUGUUUCUCGGGCAGUUUACUAGGAAAGGAAUAUUUUCCCAGAUGGAUGGGAAAUAUACAUUUGACAACGGGCCUGACCAUCCUCCGACCUCCGUGCUCGCCGGGCACAACUAUAUUUCAUCAAAUGUAUACCAGCUAUCCCCUCCCGAGGUAAAAAAAGAAUUCAUUUCUUCUCCAAUUCCCAAAGAAAGUCAUAGCAAAGGAUGCUUUUAUCAGAUUUCUUUUCGGUUAUAAACGGAUGAUAUCAUUUAUUGAAAGCAGGAUUUGAUGCUUGCAACGGUUCUGAUAAGACCAACUGCUCUGUAUGGAGGCAAAAUAUCUCUAGAGCUUACCAAGGAGAGUUAUGGAUCAGUAAGUAGAGUGUACAUUGUGUGUGAUCAGGAUCAUGGGAUACCUGAAAACUUGCAGAGGUGGAUCAUUGAAAACAAUCCACCAGAUGAGGUGAAGCUGGUCUCUGGCUCUGAUCAUAUGGUUAUGUUUUCAAAGCCUAAGGAGCUGUGCUCUUGCCUCCAAAGAAUUGCAGAGAAAUAUUCUUG
rnacentral:lncRNA from 1 species